CCUACGGGAGGCAGCAGUGAGGAAUAUUGGUCAAUGGACGAGAGUCUGAACCAGCCAAGUAGCGUGAAGGAUGACUGCCCUAUGGGUUGUAAACUUCUUUUAUAAAGGAAUAAAACGAGGCACGUGUGCCUUUUUGCAUGUACUUUAUGAAUAAGGAUCGGCUAACUCCGUGCCAGCAGCCGCGGUAAUACGGAGGAUCCGAGCGUUAUCCGGAUUUAUUGGGUUUAAAGGGAGCGUAGAUGGGUUGUUAAGUCAGUUGUGAAAGUUUGCGGCUCAACCGUAAAAUUGCAAUUGAUACUGGCGGUCUUGAGUACAGUUGGGGUAGGCGGAAUUCGUGGUGUAGCGGUGAAAUGCUUAGAUAUCACGAAGAACCCCGAUUGCGAGGGCAGCUUACUAAACUGUGACUGACAUUGAUGCCCGAAAGUGUGGGUAUCAAACAGGAUUAGAUACCCUAGUAGUC
rnacentral:rRNA from 1 species